rnacentral:rRNA from 1 species
GAUGAACGCUGGCGGCGUGCCUAAUACAUGCAAGUCGAGCGAAUGGAUUAAGAGCUUGCUCUUAUGAAGUUAGCGGCGGACGGGUGAGUAACACGUGGGUAACCUGCCCAUAAGACUGGGAUAACUCCGGGAAACCGGGGCUAAUACCGGAUAACAUUUUGAACCGCAUGGUUCGAAAUUGAAAGGCGGCUUCGGCUGUCACUUAUGGAUGGACCCGCGUCGCAUUAGCUAGUUGGUGAGGUAACGGCUCACCAAGGCAACGAUGCGUAGCCGACCUGAGAGGGUGAUCGGCCACACUGGGACUGAGACACGGCCCAGACUCCUACGGGAGGCAGCAGUAGGGAAUCUUCCGCAAUGGACGAAAGUCUGACGGAGCAACGCCGCGUGAGUGAUGAAGGCUUUCGGGUCGUAAAACUCUGUUGUUAGGGAGGAACAAGUGCUAGUUGAAUAAGCUGACACCUUGACGGUACCUAACCAGGAAGCCACGGCUAACUACGUGCCAGCAGCCGCGGUAA